GACGAACGCUGGCGGCGUGCUUAACACAUGCAAGUGGGGCGACGAACCAGGCUUCGGCCUGGGGCAAAGCCGCGAACGGGUGAGUAACACGUGGGUAACCUGCCCCGAAGACUGGGACAACCCGGGAAACCCGGGCUAAUACCGGAUGUGGGUCAUCGUUCACAAGGACGAUGAGCAAAGGAAGCUUCGGCCUCCGCUUCGGGAUGGGCCCGCGGCCCAUUAGCUUGUUGGUGAGGUAACGGCUCACCAAGGCUUCGAUGGUAGCUGGUCUGAGAGGACGAUCAGCCACACUGGGACUGAGACACGGCCCAGACUCCUACGGGAGGCAGCAGUGGGGAAUCUUGCGCAAUGCGCGAAAGCGUGACGCAGCAACGCCGCGUGGGGAAGACGGCCUCGGUU
rnacentral:rRNA from 1 species